rnacentral:rRNA from 1 species
GAUGAACGCUGGCGGCGUGCCUAAUACAUGCAAGUCGAGCGAACGGACGAGAAGCUUGCUUCUCUGAUGUUAGCGGCGGACGGGUGAGUAACACGUGGAUAACCUACCUAUAAGACUGGGAUAACUUCGGGAAACCGUAGCUAAUACCGGAUAAUAUUUUGAACCGCAUGGUUCAAAAGUGAAAGACGGUCUUGCUGUCACUUAUAGAUGGAUCCGCGCUGCAUUAGCUAGUUGGUAAGGUAACGGCUUACCAAGGCAACGAUGCAUAGCCGACCUGAGUGGGUGAUCGGCCACACUGGAACUGAGACACGGUCCAGACUCCUACGGGAGGCAGCAGUAGGGAAUCUUCCGCAAUGGGCGAAAGCCUGACGGAGCAACGCCGCGUGAGUGAUGAAGGUCUUCGGAUCGUAAAACUCUGUUAUUAGGGAAGAACAUAUGUGUAAGUAACUGUGCACAUCUUGACGGUACCUAAUCAGAAAGCCACGGCUAACUACGU